rnacentral:rRNA from 1 species
GACGAACGCUGGCGGCGUGCUUAACACAUGCAAGUCGAGCGAGCGGCGAACGGGUGAGUAACGCGUAGUAACCUGCCCCCCUCUCUGGGAUAACAGUUGGAAACGGCUGCUAAUACCGCAUACGGUUGGAGCGGCCCAUGCCCGAAUAGCUAGUUGGUGAGGUAAAGGCUCACCAAGGCGACGAACGGUAGCUGGUCUGAGAGGAAGAACAUCCACCCUUGGACUGAGACACGGCCCAGCCUCCUACGGGAGGCAGAAGGGGGGAAUUUUGGACAAUGGGGGCAACCCUGAGCCAGCCAUGCCGCGUGCAGGAGGAAGGUCUUCGGAUUGUAAACUGCUUUUGUCAGGGAAGCGGUACCUGAAGAAUAAGCACCGGCUAACUACGUGCCAGCAGCCGCGGUAAUUC